GGGAGUAUAUCUCAGUGGUAGAGCAUUCGACUGCAGAUCGAGAGGUCUUCGCUUCAAACCUGGGUACCCUCU
rnacentral:tRNA from 1 species